rnacentral:rRNA from 1 species
AGAGUUUGAUCCUGGCUCAGAGCGAACGCUGGCGGCAGGCCUAACACAUGCAAGUCGAACGGAUCCUUCGGGAUUAGUGGCGGACGGGUGAGUAACACGUGGGAACGUGCCUUUUGGUUCGGAACAACUCAGGGAAACUUGAGCUAAUACCGAAUGUGCCCUUCGGGGGAAAGAUUUAUCGCCAUUAGAGCGGCCCGCGUCUGAUUAGCUUGUUGGUGAGGUAAAGGCUCACCAAGGCUACGAUCAGUAGCUGGUCUGAGAGGAUGAUCAGCCACACUGGGACUGAGACACGGCCCAGACUCCUACGGGAGGCAGCAGUGGGGAAUCUUGCGCAAUGGGCGAAAGCCUGACGCAGCCAUGCCGCGUGAAUGAUGAAGGUCUUAGGAUUGUAAAAUUCUUUCACCGGGGACGAUAAUGACGGUACCCGGAGAAGAAGCUCCGGCUAACUUCGUGCCAGCAGCCGCGGUAAUACGAAGGGGGCUAGCGUUGCUCGGAAUUACUGGGCGUAAAGGGAGCGUAGGCGGACAGUUAAGUCAGAGGUGAAAGCCCAGGGCUCAACCCUGGAAUUGCCUUUGAUACUGAUUGUCUUGAGUAUGGGAGAGGUAUGCGGAACUCCGAGUGUAAAGGGAAAUUCGUAGAUAUUCGGAAGAACAC